GUGCUCAAUUUAUCAGCACAAAUACUAAAACUGGAACAAUACAGAGAAUAUUAGCAUAGACCUAGUGCAGGCAUGGCAUUAAAAUCUGUGGAGUGUUCCAUACUUAA
ensembl:snRNA U6 U6 spliceosomal RNA